GACGAACGCUGGCGGCGUGCUUAACACAUGCAAGUCGAGCGGAAAGGCCCUUCGGGGUCCUCGAGCGGCGAACGGGUGAGUAACACGUGAGUAACCUGCCCCAGACUUUGGGAUAACCCUCGGAAACGGGGGCUAAUACCGGAUACGACACAGCUUCGCAUGGGGUCUGUGUGGAAAGUUUUUCGGUUUGGGAUGGGCUCGCGGCCUAUCAGCUUGUUGGUGGGGUGAUGGCCUACCAAGGCGACGACGGGCAGCCGGCCUGAGAGGGCGACCGGCCACACUGGGACUGAGACACGGCCCAGACUCCUACGGGAGGCAGCAGUGGGGAAUAUUGCACAAUGGGCGGAAGCCUGAUGCAGCGACGCCGCGUGAGGGAUGACGGCCUUCGGGUUGUAAACCUCUUUCAGCAGGGACGAAGCGUAAGUGACGGUACCUGCAGAAGAAGCGCCGGCCAACUACGUG
rnacentral:rRNA from 1 species